rnacentral:rRNA from 1 species
GGGUGCGACCAUACCAGCACUAACGCAUCGGAUCCCAUCAGAACUCCGAAGUUAAGCGUGCUUCGACGAGAGUAGUACUAGGAUGGGUGACCCCCUGGGAAGUCCUCGUGUUGCACCCC